UACGGGGGGGGCAAGCGUUGUUCGGAAUUACUGGGCGUAAAGGGCUCGUAGGUGGCCAACUAAGUCAGACGUGAAAUCCCUCGGCUUAACCGGGGAACUGCGUCUGAUACUGGAUGGCUUGAGUUUGGGAGAGGGACGCGGAAUUCCAGGUGUAGCGGUGAAAUGCGUAGAUAUCUGGAAGAACACCCGUGGCUAAGGCGGCUCUCUAGUACGGUACUGACGCUGAGACGCGAAAGCGUGGGGAGCGAACAGG
rnacentral:rRNA from 1 species